rnacentral:rRNA from 1 species
UGUGGUUUAAUUCGAUGAUACGCGAGGAACCUUACCAGGGCUUAAAUGUAGUCUGACCGGUCUGGAAACAGACCUUCUCUUUGAGCAGAUUACAAGGUGCUGCAUGGUUGUCGUCAGCUCGUGCCGUGAGGUGUCGGGUUAAGUCCCUUAACGAGCGCAACCCCUAUUUCCAGUUGCCAGCGGAUAAUGCCGGGGACUCUGGAGAAACUGCCCGCGUAAGCGGUGAGGAAGGUGGGGAUGACGUCAAAUCAUCACGGCCCUUACGUCCUGGGCUACACACGUGCUACA